CGGUCUGGGAUGGACUCGCGGCCUAUCAGCUUGUUGGUGAGGUAACGGCUCACCAAGGCGUCGACGGGUAGCCGGCCUGAGAGGGUGACCGGCCACACUGGGACUGAGACACGGCCCAGACUCCUACGGGAGGCAGCAGUGGGGAAUAUUGCACAAUGGGCGCAAGCCUGAUGCAGCAACGCCGCGUGCGGGAUGACGGCCUUCGGGUUGUAAACCGCUUUUAGUAGGGAAGAAGGGCUUCGGCUUGACGGUACCUGCAGAAAAAGGACCGGCUAACUACGUGCCAGCAGCCGCGGUAAUACGUAGGGUCCGAGCGUUGUCCGGAAUUAUUGGGCGUAAAGAGCUCGUAGGCGGUUUGUCGCGUCUGCUGUGAAAACUAGAGGCUCAACCUCUAGCCUGCAGUGGGUACGGGCAGACUGGAGUGCGGUAGGGGAGAAUGGAAUUCCUGGUGUAGCGGUGGAAUGCGCAGAUAUCAGGAGGAACACCGAUGGCGAAGGCAGUUCUCUGGGCCGUAACUGACGCUGAGGAGCGAAAGCGUGGGGAGCGAACAGGAUUAGAUACCCUGGUAGUCCACGCCGUAAACGUUGGGCGCUAGAUGUGGGGACCUUUCCACGGUUUCCGUGUCGUAGCUAACGCA
rnacentral:rRNA from 1 species